UACGUAGGGUGCGAGCGUUAAUCGGAAUUACUGGGCGUAAAGCGUGCGUAGGCGGUUCCUCAAGUCCGUUGUGAAAGCCCCGGGCUCAACCUGGGAAUGGCAGUGGAAACUAGGGGACUGGAAUCUAGCAGAGGGGGGUGGAAUGCCGCGUGUAGCAGUGAAAUGCGUAGAGAUGCGGCGGAACACCGAUGGCGAAGGCAGCCCCCUGGGCUGAGAUUGACGCUCAGGCACGAAAGCGUGGGGAGCAAACAGG
rnacentral:rRNA from 1 species